ACGGAGGGGGCAAGCGUUGAUCGGAAUUACUGGGCGUAAAGCGCACGCAGGUGGCUGAGCGAGUCGAUUGUGAAAGCCCUGGGCUCAACCUGGGAAUUGCAUUCGAUACUACUCAGCUAGAGUAUGGAAGAGGGUAGUGGAAUUCCCGGUGUAGCGGUGAAAUGCGUAGAUAUCGGGAGGAACAUCAGUGGCGAAGGCGGGUACCUGGCCCGAUACUGACGCUCAGGCGCGACAGCGUGGGGAGCAAACAGGA
rnacentral:rRNA from 1 species